rnacentral:rRNA from 1 species
CCUACGGGCUGCAGCAGUGAGGAAUAUUGGUCAAUGGACGCAAGUCUGAACCAGCCAUGCCGCGUGCAGGACGACUGCUCUAUGAGUUGUAAACUUCUUUUGUACGAGGGUAAACGCAGAUACGCGUAUCUGUCUGAAUGUACCGUACGAAUAAGGAUCGGCUAACUCCGUGCCAGCAGCCGCGGUAAUACGGAGGAUUCAAGUGUUAUCCGGAUUUAUUGGGUUUAAAGGGUGCGUAGGCGGUUGGAUAAGUUAGGGGUGAAAUGCCGAGGCUCAACUUCGGAAUUGCCUUUGAUACUGUCAGGCUAGAGAGCAGUUGCGGUAGGCGGAAUGUAUGGUGUAGCGGUGAAAUGCUUAGAGAUCAUACAGAACACCGAUUGCGAAGGCAGCUUACCAAGCUACUACUGACGUUGAGGCACGAAAGCGUGGGGAGCAAACAGGAUUAGAUACCCGGGUAGUC